GUCCUUCUCUAUCCCUCCUUCUCUUCCCUCACAGCUCUGCUUCUGUCUGUCUACCUCUACCCCUUCUCCAGGUCCCCCCUUCCCUCCUGUCCCCAGUAAACCCCCUAAUACCAGGUGUAUUGCAUGGUGCAAUUUCUUAGGGGGACACCUUGGCAUGAAACCACUGUCACCACAUUAUAUUUCAUAACAGUGCCACCAUUGCCCUAGCUUGUUUUUUCAGGCAGGACACAUUGUAGGCCAAAGGUCUUGUGGCUGGGUUGGGAUAUACAUUUCUCUUUCAGUUGUCUGCAGAGUACUUUCCCACACAGAGACUGAGGACCACAAAGUUGCUGGAGACAGCAUCCACACAACUCAUUGAACACGGAGAAGUGGAGCUUGUGCCUCCAUGAGCCUUUACCCUACAUUCCAGUCUCUUUUGGGUGGGAAAAUACUGCUGAUGUCUACGUUUGUCUUUGUUGGCUGGAUGUUUUGUUUCUUGGUUUCUGUUUCAUCUCUGGAUUCUCAGAGUGAGAUGGCUGUAAGUUGUCUAUUUUACUGGUUUGCUCUGCUGGUGUGGUCAUAGGGAAUGCCUGCUGGUGUUGCAGGCUGGGAUACAGUGAUGAGUGAGGGAGGUAGGUUAGAAGGGGAUGUCUGUUAGAGCCUCAGGAGAUGUGCUCAGAGAGGAGGGAAAGCUGCAGCUGGGGAUCUGCUGCAGGGCUCGCUCAGGAUGAGACUGCAGAAUUGGGUCUGGAGGAACAGAGCAACUCUUCUUCCUUGGAACUAAGUCACUCAAGUGCAUUUCUCCCUCAUGGUGACUAAAACCCUAACUGUAACAACCUGUCAGACUCUGGGGGGCGCUGCAGUCGCACCCACCCUGGAUUCAGCUCCCUUAUGAGAAAGUUCUCGAUUACCUCCAAAUUAUCCUCUGGCUUGGACAGUCUGUAACUCUGGUUUUCUUUCAACUAGUUUGCUAAUGGAAGCUCAUACCCUAAAGCAGCCAUCUGGACAACCUUUGGCUACUAUCUCCUACAUUCCUAGGGCUGUUUCAGAUAAGAGACUCUUGGGUUGCUAUGCUCAUAAACACUGGACCAAUUCUGAGACCAUCUGUUUCCUGGCCAAGUGUUUGACCAUGUGGUGGCUUACUGCAGACUGUGAUAAGCAGAAGAUGAAGUGUUCAUAAAGAUUCCAGGUUUGGGUGUGCAGGUGUUGAAGCUGAGCAUGAGCAAGGAGCCUCCCUGCCUGGGAUCACAGCGCCAGCAUCCCUGCACCCCAUAGUCAAUCCUCCCUGCCACAUCUCCAUGCAGGGCUUCCCUCGGCUUUGACUUUCUAGCGCUGCGGAAGUACACCUUCUAGGACAGCAUCAACCUAACACAGCUAAGACAGUCGGCCGAUGCAUAUGGCCCAUCACAAAAAAAGACCACACUUCUGAAGCCUCUGAUCAAGGACCACAUCUGUUACAGCUGGCAAGCCGUGUCCCAGGAACCUCUUCCUUUCAACCCGGCCCUCUCCUUCCCUGUUCUAGGUUCCAUCCUCAGCACUACAUAAAGCAGGUAAGGAAGGAAGAUGGAGAGUCAAAGGCCACCCCUUCUUCAUUACAUAAUGAAUUCCAGGCUAACCUGUGAUACACGAGACUCCAUCAGACAAACAAACCAAAAAGAAAAAAGAAGAA